AACGAACGCUGGCGGCAUGCCUAACACAUGCAAGUCGAACGAGACCUUCGGGUCUAGUGGCGAACGGGUGCGUAACGCGUGGGAACCUGCCCUUAGGUUCGGAAUAACUCCCCGAAAGGGGUGCUAAUACCGGAUAAUGUCUUCGGACCAAAGAUUUAUCGCCUUUGGAUGGGCCCGCGUUGGAUUAGCUAGUUGGUAGGGUAAAAGCCUACCAAGGCGACGAUCCAUAGCUGGUCUGAGAGGAUGAUCAGCCACACUGGGACUGAGACACGGCCCAGACUCCUACGGGAGGCAGCAGUGGGGAAUAUUGGACAAUGGGCGAAAGCCUGAUCCAGCAAUGCCGCGUGAGUGAUGAAGGCCUUAGGGUUGUAAAGCUCUUUUACCCGGGAUGAUAAUGACAGUACCGGGAGAAUAAGCGCCGGCUAACUCCGUG
rnacentral:rRNA from 1 species